GCACGGCUCAGUAAAACGUGGACAACCUGCCCUCGGGUGGGGGAUAACCCCGGGAAACUGGGGCUAAUACCCCAUAGGUGAUGGGUGCUGGAAUGCCCCAUCACCCAAAGCUCCGGCGCCCGAGGAUGGGUCUACGGCGGAUUAGGUUGUUGGCGGGGUAACGGCCCGCCAAGCCGAAGAUCCGUACGGGCCAUGAGAGUGGGAGCCCGGAGAUGGACCCUGAGACACGGGUCCAGGCCCUACGGGGCGCAGCAGGCGCGAAACCUUUACAAUGCGGGAGACCGUGAUAAGGGGACCCCGAGUGCCUCUGCCACGCAGGGGCUGUCCGGGUGUGUAAAAAGCACCCGACAGCAAGGGCUGGGCAAGACCGGUGCCAGCCGCCGCGGUAACACCGGCAGCCCGAGUGGUGGCCACUAUUAUUGGGUCUAAAGCGUCCGUAGCCGGCCUAGUAAGUCUCUCGGGAAAUCCGGCGGCUUAACCGUCGGGCGUCCGAGAGAUACUGCUAGGCUUGGGACCGGGAGAGGCCGAGGGUACUCCCGGGGUAGGGGUGAAAUCCUGUAAUCCCGGGAGGACCACCGGUGGCGAAGGCGCUCGGCUGGA
rnacentral:rRNA from 1 species